rnacentral:rRNA from 1 species
UGGGGAAUAUUGCCCAAUGGACGGAAGUCUGAUGCAGCAACGCCGCGUGCGGGAUGACGGCCUUCGGGUUGUAAACCGCUUUUUCUCAUGACGAAGUUUUUUGACGGUAGUGGGGGAAGAAGCACCGGCUAAAUACGUGCCAGCAGCCGCGGUGAUACGUAGGGUGCGAGCGUUGUCCGGAAUUAUUGGGCGUAAAGAGCUUGUAGGCGGUUUGUCGCGUCGAUAGUGCAAACUCAGUGCUUAACGCUGAGCCUGCUGUUGAUACGGGCAGACUAGAGGAAGGUAGGGGAGAAUGGAAUUCCCGGUGGAGCGGUGGAAUGCGCAGAUAUCGGGAGGAACACCUGUGGCGAAGGCGGUUCUCUGGGCCUUUCCUGACGCUGAGAAGCGAAAGCGUGGGGAGCGAACAGG